rnacentral:rRNA from 1 species
CCUACGGGUGGCUGCAGUCGAGAAUCAUUGACAAUGGUGGAGACCCUGAUGGAGCGAAGCCGCGUGGGGGAAUGAAGUACAUCGGAUCGUAAACCUCUGUCAUGUGGGAGCAAAUUAUAAAGAUAGUACCCCAAGAGGAAGAGACGGCUAACCCUGUGCCACUAGCCGCGGUAAUACAGAGGGCUUAAGAGUUUUUCGGCAUCACUGGGCGUAAAGGGUGCGUAGGGGGUUUCGUACGUCGUGUGUGAAAGGCGCGGGCUCAAACCGCGGCCAGCAGUUGAUACUGGCAGUCUAGAGUAAGGGAGGAGGAAGCGGAAUGCGCGGUGUAGCGGUGAAAUGCAUAGAUAUCGAGAAGAAC